UCCCCGUAGUGCAAAGGAUAGCGCUUUGGACUUCUAAUGCAAGGAUCGUGGGUUCGAAUCCCAACUGGGAGAA